UACGGAGGGAGCUAGCGUUGUUCGGAAUUACUGGGCGUAAAGCGCACGUAGGCGGCUUUUUUAAGUCAGGGGGUGAAAUCCCGGGGCUCAACCCCGGAACUGCCCUUGAAACUGGAGAGCUAGAAUCUUGGAGAGGCGAGUGGAAUUCCGAGUGUAGAGGUGAAAUUCGUAGAUAUUCGGAAGAACACCAGUGGCGAAGGCGACUCGCUGGACAAGUAUUGACGCUGAGGCGCGAAAGCUAGGGGAGCGAACAGG
rnacentral:rRNA from 1 species